rnacentral:misc_RNA from 1 species
AAUGAUUCAUAUCUGCCAUUGGCAUAUAGGGUGGUAGAAAUUGAGCCAUCAGAUAUUGCAGAUACAGAUUCUGUCUUUCUUUCAAGAGCAGUUAAGUCUGCAAAAACAGCUUUGAGAAAUCCCACNNNNNNNNNNNGAGACAUUCUGCUUCAAAGCGAAACAUUCAAGUACUUGAAGUAAUCGAGGAUACAAGCCCCCUACCUAGCAUGCUUUCUCCACAAGAUUCAGCGGGUAGAAGUGGCGUUAUGCUGUUUCCAUCCCAGAAAGAUGCAUAUAUGUCCCCACGAGUGGGUCUUGCUGUUGCUAUUCGUCAUUCUGAGUUCUAUAGUCCUGGGAUUUCUCUUCUUGAGCUUGAAAAGAAGGAAAGGGUUGAUGUCAAGGCAUUUAGUUCAGAUGGAUCCUACUACAAGCUUUCGGCUCUACUCAAGACCUCAGAGAGGACAAAGGUUGUUCAUUUUCAG